CCCGGCACAAGCGGUGGAGCAUGUGGUUUAAUUCGAUGGUACGCGAGGAACCUUACCUGGGUUUGACAUACAGUGUGAUAGGUCAGAGAUGAUCUAGCGUAGCAAUACGACGCUGUACAGGUGCUGCAUGGCCGUCGUCAGCUCGUGCCGUGAGGUGUUGGGUUAAGUCCCGCAACGAGCGCAACCCCUACUGCCAGUUACUAACAGGUGAAGCUGAGGACUCUGGCGGAACUGCCGGUGACAAACCGGAGGAAGGUGGGGAUGACGUCAAAUCAUCAUGCCCCUUAUGUCCUGGGCCACACACGUGCUACAAUGGCCGGUACAGAGGGAAGCGAAGCCGUGAGGUGGAGCAAAUCCCAAAAAGCCGGUCUCAGUUCGGAUUGCAGGCUGCAACCCGCCUGCAUGAAGUCGGAAUCGCUAGUAAUCGCAGGUCAGCAUACUGCGGUGAAUACGUUCCCGGGCCUU
rnacentral:rRNA from 1 species